rnacentral:rRNA from 1 species
UACGUAGGGUGCGAGCGUUGUCCGGAAUUAUUGGGCGUAAAGAGCUCGUAGGCGGCUUGUCGCGUCGGAUGUGAAAGCCCGGGGCUUAACCUCGGGUCUGCAUUCGAUACGGGCAGGCUAGAGUUCGGUAGGGGAGAUCGGAAUUCCUGGUGUAGCGGUGAAAUGCGCAGAUAUCAGGAGGAACACCGGUGGCGAAGGCGGAUCUCUGGGCCGGUACUGACGCUGAGGCGCGAAAGCGUGGGGAGCAAACAGG